AUUCCAGCUCCAAUAGCGUAUACUAAAGUUGUUGCAGUUAAAAAGCUCGUAGUUGAAUUUCUGGUCGUGAAAAGUGGUCCGUUCCGCAAGGAAUGUGUACUGUCUAUUCAUGUCCAUCCUCGGAGUUAGUGUGUAUUACUUUAAUCGGUCGUGCAUGCAAUACUUCGUCAUUUACUGUGAGCAAAAUAGAGUGUUCAAAGCAGGCUUAUGCCGUUGAAUAUAUUAGCAUGGAAUAAUAAGAUAUGACUUUGGUCUAUUUUGUUGGUUGGAGGCCAAGGUGAUGAUUAAUAGGGAUAGUUGGGGGUAUUCAUAUUUAAUUGUCAGAGGUGAAAUUCUUGGAUUUAUGAAAGAUGAACUUAUGCGAAAGCAUUUACCAAGGAUGUUUUCAUCA
rnacentral:rRNA from 1 species